UACGUAGGGGGCUAGCGUUGUCCGGAAUCAUUGGGCGUAAAGCGCGCGUAGGCGGCCUGUUAAGUCCGCUGUGAAAGUCCGGGGCUCAACCCCGGGAGGCGGGUGGAUACUGUCGAGCUCGAGUCCGGAAGAGGCGAGUGGAAUUCCUGGUGUAGCGGUGAAAUGCGCAGAUAUCAGGAGGAACACCGAUGGCGAAGGCAGCUCGCUGGGACGUGACUGACGCUGAGACGCGAAAGCGUGGGGAGCAAACAGG
rnacentral:rRNA from 1 species